rnacentral:rRNA from 1 species
AUUGAACGCUGGCGGCAUGCCUUACACAUGCAAGUCGAACGGCAGCACGGGAGCAAUCCUGGUGGCGAGUGGCGAACGGGUGAGUAAUACAUCGGAACGUGCCCAGUAGUGGGGGAUAUCCCGGCGAAAGCCGGACUAAUACCGCAUACGACCUACGGGUGAAAGCGGGGGAUCGCAAGACCUCGCGCUAUCGGAGCGGCCGAUGUCAGAUUAGCUAGUUGGUGGGGUAAAGGCCUACCAAGGCGACGAUCUGUAGCUGGUCUGAGAGGACGACCAGCCACACUGGGACUGAGACACGGCCCAGACUCCUACGGGAGGCAGCAGUGGGGAAUUUUGGACAAUGGGCGCAAGCCUGAUCCAGCCAUGCCGCGUGCGGGAAGAAGGCCUUCGGGUUGUAAACCGCUUUUGUCAGGGAAGAAACGCUCCGGGCUAAUACCACGGAGUAAUGACGGUACCUGAAGAAUAAGCACCGGCUAACUACGUG